ACCCUUUGAAAUGGGGAAAAAAAACUCCUUGGUGGUGGUGUUCUUAUAUCAGUCAUUGGCAGAGUAGUUGGCAGUCCUUUGCUUCUCCUAGCUUGAUGCCUGACUUUGUGGCCAAAGCUGUUUUAUGCCUAUGACACAUAA